UCUGGGAGAGAUGCCGCCUGAGCCGGCCUAUGGCUCCAAACUCAUCGCUGGAAGAUCACAGCUGCCCUCUCCCCGGCCACUCUCUUUUCAUGAGGAAAGGUCAUGGUGUAGAAAAUAAUUCUAGAUCAAGUUAGAAUAUGUUCCGACCUCAGCAAGCAACCACGUACUUUGAUUAUGUAGCACCCUUCAUUAUUCUAAGGAGUUCUCAUUAUACAGGUGGGUUGAAGACACACUGUGUGUCAAAAGAACCAAAACCAAAACAAAAUCCUAUAAAAUAGCAGGUCUUAUAGUUUCCUUCUUUUUCCCAUAGGAAGGAAGGGGAAA
rnacentral:lncRNA from 1 species